AUUGAACGCUGGCGGCAUGCCUUACACAUGCAAGUCGAACGGCAUCGCGGGAAAGCUUGCUUUCCUGGCGGCGAGUGGCGAACGGGUGAGUAACACAUCGGAACGUACCGGCUAGUAGGGGAUAACCCGUCGAAAGACGGGCUAAUACCGCAUACGCUCUUCGGAGGAAAGCAGGGGACCUUUGGGCCUUGCGCUAGCCGAGCGGCCGAUGUCCGAUUAGCUAGUUGGUGGGGUAAAGGCCUACCAAGGCGACGAUCGGUAGCGGGUCUGAGAGGACGAUCCGCCACACUGGGACUGAGACACGGCCCAGACUCCUACGGGAGGCAGCAGUGGGGAAUCUUGGACAAUGGGGGCAACCCUGAUCCAGCAAUGCCGCGUGGGUGAAGAAGGCCUUCGGGUUGUAAAGCCCUUUCGGCAGGGAAGAAAUCGGCGGGGCGAAUAACCCUGCUGGAUGACGGUACCUGCAGAAGAAGCACCGGCCAACUACGUG
rnacentral:rRNA from 1 species